CUAUGUACUUGAAAGCUAAGGAGCUUAUCAGGCAUCUGAUAAUGUUUUCAGGAUUUCCCCAGAUUAGACCGCGGAGUGUACAGACAGGAAGCUGAAGUAUUGAGCGCCUGACCAGAGCUUCCUCCUGUGCAAGAGUGGGGGUUUCUCCAACUUGAAUCUUUAGCUCUACAAGCACAGUCCGAGUCUUGAAGUCCAAGGGAUAAAGAGCACCCAAAUCUUUCAGCUGGGUCCUCCGAGCGUGGAGAAUGGAGUACUGCACUUAAGCCCUGCUUGCAAGAGAACAAAGCGGAGUGAUGUAAAAUAGAAAAUGAGACAAGCAAACCUUUGGUGAUUGAAGAGGAGGAAGGAAAAUGAAAGAGAAAAAGCUGAAGAGUGGGAAAAAGAUAAAAUAAAAUGAAUUUUGGGGAUUCCACUGUGAGUAAGAGCUGAAAAAAAAGUAAGCUGAUUUAUUACAUGUUUAUCUUCUGCCUGCGAGUCAGUGUGCCUUGUAUAUGCGAGGGGUGAACUGCACAUUAAAGAUUGAAUCAAAAAGCCAAAUUCUUCCUCAAUUCCUCCAGCUUUAAACGAGCAUAAUUCUGACAGCUCCGAUGGAUUUACAUUUUGUAAACAGCAGCGGAAUCAAGAUCAAGUCCUUUAAGUCAUUUUGAGUCAUAUUUAUGCUGAAGUUAUGAGAAAUUUAGAAUGACUUUUAAAUAACGUUUGUCAGGGAAGCUGCACAUUUUCUAACGCUUCUCUUCACUGGGCAGGAAUUUUGCUAUGGUCAUUGCAGUGUUGUUAUGACUUUAUUCUGAAUCCAAUGGCAGUACAGAAAGAAGGGGUGAUGUUAUCGUUAUGUGCAUCCAUAUUUUCCUUGCAUUAUGACUUAUGUAUAUUCAUUUUUAUUUUAAAUGUGUAUUUUAACAACCGUUUAAACAGGGAGAUGGCAUGAGCUAGUUGAUGUAAGUAUUUUUUUUUCUCUCCAUCAAAUGCCACUGAUUUUGAAAAUGCAGUGUUUGACUGCAGCCGGAGGGUUUAGCUGGCUACACCUUGCUUUCUUUCACAUUAAUCCUUUACUCUUUUGCAGGUUUAUUUCUUCCUUUGCGUGCUCUGAGCUUAUCUGGGCAUCCAAAAGUUUGUUUUAUAGUAUGGAAGAAGAGGGACAGAGGAAGCACCGCAGGUUUUCUUGAUGAAAUUUCCAAGCUUUUGCAGGUGUGGAGACGGGCUUCUGGAGCCUGCAGAAUAAGGCAGCUCCCAUCCCUCUCUUUCUCCACCUAAUCAGACAGUUUCUCUUACUCUUCCUUUUUCUGAACAGUUUGUUCGCUAAAAAAUGCUGUUUCGAAUGAACUGAAAUUAUUGACAGAGCUGAAUGGAGUGGUGCAAAUAGUACUGGGUAAACCAUCAAAAAAAUAUUUUGACAUUUGUAGAAUUAAAUCCUAAUUCUUUCUUUGAAAGUGCUUUUUUUCAUUUUCAUGUUCUUCUUAUCGUUUUUAUGCAGCAAUAAUGACAGCAAAGAAGAAACGAAGUAUUUUGUUUUAGGCCAAGAAAUACGUUCUAGUGCAGCUCAAAUUAUUUGCUUAUUUAUUUAUUGUUCAGAAAAGAACAAAAGUCACUCCAGGUUCCACCAAAUGGCAUUUUCCUUUUCCUUUCUUUCUUCUUUUUUUUUUUUUGAUUAGUAGAGGAAAACAUGGCUAAUUGCCACAGCCAAAAGUCCAUACCAUUGUCAGGACCAGCUGUAUUUCAGCUAUGUUAAUCUGGCAGAAUACUGAGCAUUCAUUUUCUGUGGGAAAUGAUGAUUAAAAAAGGGAAUUAUUUUUGAUAAGAAAAACGUACCCUUUUCUGUGCUUUUAUUGGUCAGAUUAAAUAUAUAAUCCACCUUUUCCCAUAAUCAGGGAAAGAAAAAAAAAAAAAAAAGGAGGAGAAAAGUCAGCUUUCAUUAUUGAAAUAGAUUUUCUGGAAGAUUUUUGACCCAAUUCCCUAACAUGAAAGGCUGCAGCUACUCUCUCCUGCAGUGUUUCAGAUGCCUGUGCUCCAUCGCAGCUUCCAUUGGGGCUGAGCGCUUCCCUUGGGCAGCAGAGCCUGGAGCUCCUGGAGCCAUGGGAUGAGGCUGCGGUGGGGACUCUUUGGCAGGACAGAGGUUUCAAGUGUGUCAGUGACUGCCUGUGGUCUUUGUGGGGGGAUUCAGUAAGGAAAAGUAUGGAAAACAGAGAGCUGCAGAAAACUAUUUCAAAGCUUGGAUUCUGUAGUGCAUGCUGGAUAGCCAAGUCCUCACCGGCAACUUGAGCAAUGUCAUGUCAAAAGUCUGUGUAGAAAUCAAAGAAUGUCUUUACUUUUCACUGUAAUCAUUUGUAGCAGUUAAUACAUUUGAUUAAAUGUUCGAGAGUUGGUCAUGUUGAAUCUGAAUGGCACCUAGAACUAUUUUCUUUAAAAUCAGCCCCGGUGAGCUCAAGGGGAGCCAGAUUUAACAUCGUGGUGAGCGUAUCCUGGUGGAAGGCAGGCUGGCUCCCCGCAGGCUGUCUGCAUCAGCGCUUCUCAGCCUUCUCUAAUGGGGCCUUCUUGGAAAAGCCGUGGCUGGACCAUUUCCCACGCACAACAAGGAGCCGUCUGCACCUGCAGGCGCUCACUGGCAGCAUCCAGAGAGCGGCUCCCGGCUCCGUCUGCCAGCACUGGUGCUUCUCUGCCAAAUGGAGCAGACAUGUGGUUUGUAUCUUCUAAAUGAGCUCGUGCAUAGAGCAGGUUCUGGCGUCCGACAGCAAACAGUGGGCUGCAGCCCACGGGCUGUGUAACACCCAUCCAGCUCCCGGCGCUGUCACGCCUGCACCUGGUCAUGAGCCAGAGCUCUCGGGCUGUUGCAUUCGCUGCUGUGUGCCGGUCUCUGCAUAACUACGGCCAGUUUGCACUGCACUUGAGCUGUUUCAUUAUUCUAAUUUUAAUUGUAGUUGAUUUCAGUGAAUUAAUGUUGAAAUGGGCUAUCUAUGAACUGAAAGUGUGCUUGCUCUUCACAGCUUAUUUUCAGUAGCUGCAGUAUUGUUAGAGUAUAAAUACAGCCAUCUCUUCUGGAAUCGUAGGAUCACUGGAGUUUGAAGGGAUGUUUAAAGGUCUUUGAUUCCAAUUCCCCUUUCCAGAUUUCAACUCCAGCUUUUAUAUUUCAAGUAUUUAGAUACUGAACCUGUCUGAAGAAAAAAUAUCUCCGGCUUCUAAUGGAUUUCUAACAUUACAAUUGUUUAUUAUAAUAAAUAAUUGAAUAAUAAUAGCCUAAUAUAAAAAAGAAUGAAAUCCUUGCUGAGUGAUCAUGGCAUUCCUUUUUUAAAUAAUGCAAUAAUUACAAAAACAUUUUAGUUAAUUAAAACUUUAAGUUAAUGUUUGCCUGUUUUUCAACUAUUUAUGCAGAGCCUAAUCAUUUUGGGUUAGUGAUACAGAGCACAGCAGCUGCACAGGGACAAAGACUUGUAAGUACCUGUGCCAUUGCCACAGAUGGAACAAUGCCAGUUCUUUUGAGUUCUUAAAAAUGUGGAAAUUGAAAGGGAGCAAGGAAUGGCCAUCUACUCUCUCCUGUUUGCUUUACCCACCUCUCCCUAUGUUGCUGGUUGUUUAGAUUGUAUCUGACAUGUAUGGCCGGACCAGACUUUUCUGGUGCUUGGUUCCACUAUGUGCAUCAGGAACUGGUUUGGGUGAGCAGUCCAUAGUGCCACGUGUUGGGACGCAGCACGUGCCUUGCACCCAGCAUCUGCAGCACAUGCCUGGUUGGAUAUCUGAGCCAAGGGAGGAAGCGCUGCUGGAUCUGGGACCGGCUCCAUACACGAGACUUGGAGAGUCACUGCCACAGCAGGGCUGGGCUGCAGACAGAUAUCUUACUUUACAUCAGCAAAGAUCUCCUUGCACCUGGAGGAAAGCCAAGCACCGGGGAGAGAGAGCAGAGGAUGAGAUACUGCUGCACAUCAGAACGGCCUUGAAACGAAUGUCGUGUAUCCUCAGCUUUGAGAACUGAAUUCCAUGGGUUGUAAUUGAAUCCUUUGUCAGACCCAUGGGGCUCAGUUCUUCAGCUUGGAUAUUUCUGUCUUCACAUACACGGGAGAUCAAAGAAGCACUUGAUCAUGCGCUGACUCUUCCGGAUUCUGAUAGCAGCAAAUAGGAAAGAGAAAGAAUAACUGAUGUGAAUCACUCUGACAGGGAGGUUUCACUGCAAAGACCAGGCUCUCUCAUGUC
rnacentral:lncRNA from 1 species